rnacentral:rRNA from 1 species
UGUCAAGUCCUCAUGGCCCUUAUGUCCAGGGCUACACACGUGCUACAAUGGGCGGUACAGACCGUUGCGAAGUCGCGAGACGGAGCUAAUCGGACAAAGCCGUCCUCAGUUCGGAUUGCAGUCUGCAACUCGACUGCAUGAAGUUGGAAUCGCUAGUAAUCGUGUAUCAGAACGAUACGGUGAAUACGUUCCCGGGCCUU